rnacentral:rRNA from 1 species
GUAAGGAAUAUUGGUCAAUGGACGCAAGUCUGAACCAGCCAUGCCGCGUGGAGGAUGAAGGUCCUCUGGAUUGUAAACUUCUUUUAUCUGGGAAGAAACCCAUAGUUUCUACUGUGGUUGACGGUACCAGAUGAAUAAGCACCGGCUAACUCCGUGCCAGCAGCCGCGGUAAUACGGAGGGUGCAAGCGUUAUCCGGAUUCACUGGGUUUAAAGGGUGCGUAGGUGGGCAGGUAAGUCAGUGGUGAAAUCUCCGGGCUUAACCCGGAAACUGCCGUUGAUACUAUCUGUCUUGAAUAUCGUGGAGAUGAGCGGAAUAUGUCAUGUAGCGGUGAAAUGCUUAGAUAUGACAUAGAACACCGAUUGCGAAGGCAGCUCGUUACACGGUUAUUGACACUGAGGCACGAAAGCGUGGGGAUCAAACAGGAUUAGAAACCCGAGUAGUCC